ACCCGCUGAACUUAAGCAUAUCAAUAAGCGGAGGAAAAGAAACCAACGGGGAUUGCCCUAGUAACGGCGAGUGAAGCGGCAACAGCUCAAAUUUGAAAUCUGGCGUCUUUGGCGUCCGAGUUGUAAUUUGCAGAGGGCGCUUUGGCAUUGGCAGCGGUCCAAGUUCCUUGGAACAGGACGUCACAGAGGGUGAGAAUCCCGUACGUGGUCGCUAGCCUUUACCGUGUAAAGCCCCUUCGACGAGUCGAGUUGUUUGGGAAUGCAGCUCUAAAUGGGAGGUAAAUUUCUUCUAAAGCUAAAUACUGGCCAGAGACCGAUAGCGCACAAGUAGAGUGAUCGAAAGAUGAAAAGCACUUUGGAAAGAGAGUUAAAAAGCACGUGAAAUUGUUGAAAGGGAAGCGCUUGCAGCCAGACUUGCCUGUAGUUGCUCAUCCGGGUUUUUACCCGGUGCACUCUUCUAUAGGCAGGCCAGCAUCAGUUUGGGCGGUUGGAUAAAGGUCUCUGUCAUGUACCUCUCUUCGGGGAGAACUUAUAGGGGAGACGACAUGCAACCAGCCCGGACUGAGGUCCGCGCAUCUGCUAGGAUGCUGGCGUAAUGGCUGU
rnacentral:rRNA from 1 species